GCCCGCGUGGCGGAAUCGGCAGACGCGACGGACUUAAAAUCCGUUUCCCGACUGGGAGUGGGGGUUCGAGCCCCCCCGCGGGCACCA
rnacentral:tRNA from 1 species